AACAUACUUCCUCCGUCCGGAAUUACUUGUCGUGAAAAUGGAUAAGAGUGGAUGUAUCUAGAACUAAAAUAUGUCUAGAUACAUCCAUUUCUCCAACAAGUAAUUCCGGACGAAGGGAGUAUGUU
rfam:Triticum aestivum genome assembly, contig: Triticum_aestivum_CS42_TGACv1_scaffold_147786_2BS